rnacentral:rRNA from 1 species
GACGAACCGUGCGAACGUUAUUCGGAAUCACUGGGCUUAAAGCGCGUGUAGGCGGAUGGGGACGUCGGUAGCUGAAAUCCCCCGGCUCAACCGGGGAAGUGGCGCCGAAACGCCCCGUCUGGAGGGACGUAGGGGGACCUGGAACUUCCGGUGGAGCGGUGAAAUGCGUUGAGAUCGGAAGGAACGCCCGUGGCGAAAGCGAGGUCCUGGACGUUUUCUGACGCUGAGACGCGAAAGCGUGGGGAGCAAACAGG